CUAUAAAACCUCAUAGCCGGCCACCCCCUCCUCUCUUUGCUCUCAUUUUUCACUCCCCACUCCUUCCUCCACUCCCUCACACUCCUCUCAUACCUCUUACCCACGAGCUGCUGCUCCUCCCAAGCUCCAUGGCCGGCCAUGGCCAUGGAAAUCCACCUUGAUGAAGCUCCCCUCCUCCCUCAAGCUUCCCCUCACCAUGAGAGCUUCCCUCUCACUCUCUUCUCCCCUAAUCUUUGAUGAAUCCAGCCCUAUUUCUCCUUUCUCCUCUCACCAUAUUGGAUCUUGAUGCAGGUGCAUGUUGGUCCAAGCAUGGAGAAGGUUGAGCUAUCCUCAGAUCUGAAACUCUUGAGCAAAGUUCGUCCAAAAUCUUGCUGUAAUUUCUGUAUCUUGCUGUUUCAGAUUCUGGUACGAACUUGUAAAAUCCGCCAAAUCUUGUGUGCAGAUCCAAAUCGAGUGAUUCAAAGUUCUACAGAUAGGUAUUGAAAUGAUCUACAACUUGGCGUUGGUCUCAUCCUCAAAUUCGUUACGGAUUUUGCAUGAUCAAGAUCUGGUCAGAUCUGACUUUGUCGAAUUAAACCAGGAGCUUGGGGACAAAUUUUUGAAUGAAACCAACUGGGGGAUGUUUGGUUUAUACCAUGGUGAUAACCGAGAGAGGCAAUUGCUAAGUUGUGAUACUCUCAUACCUUUACUAGAUGCGAACAAUUCCGGAGAAGAAGAAGAAGUGGAAUCGGACGAGGAUUUUAUUUAUAUUGACGGGAUUCUUAUAUUGAUGAAGUUGAAGAAGUCCAGGGACAAAUAAGCCAA